rnacentral:lncRNA from 1 species
AUAGAAAGGAGAGGCACCAGUGUGUGCGGGAAGGGCCUUGAAAACAAACUCCAAAGAAACGCAGGCCAGCAGCAAGAAUCUCCAUCCACAUGGAUAGCGUAAAACCAGGGAGGGACGCAAGGAAGGAAAGCGUGUUCACAAGAAACAGGAACACAAGAAAAUAAAAGACAGAUCCAGGAAAGAGGAAGAAGAGUGGCAAGGAAGGAAGUUCAAAGAACUGGAGAAAGGGUGGGGAAGAAAGAGGAUCUCCCAGGUCUCACCUUGCAAUAUCAAGUUUCCUUCCAGAAGUGAAGUUACCAUCAGCUGAGAGAACUCCAUCCUGGGACAUAUCCGUGCACAUACUGGUGGUGAAGAAUGAAGUCUCAGUUUUGUGUCAAUGAAUGGCCUGGGACUUAGAGGUUUAAGCCACCUCAUUAAAGUUAUGUUAACUUUAUUUUUGGCAUAAGAGUGAAUUUUUUUUUCAUUUACUUCUGAUGUUCACUUAGCAAAGACAGAGUAUGAGAAAUUUUCCUGAGGUGAGGAGGACAUUUGAGACAGUGUAGACAAAAGACUAUUUCUGCUCAAAAGAACAUCUGAGACACAAAGACAGAAGUUAGAGGCCAUCGCUCAAAUGGAAGAGAGAUUUUAAAAGCCCUGAUUAUCAUAGAAACAUACACUUGAGGACCUUCCACAAAUAUAAUUCAAUCUGAAAGCCUUUUUCAAGGUUAAUGAGUAUCAGUGAAAGUUAUAAAUUAAAUGUUUUUAAAAUAUAAGCUUGACCGUUUUUAAUCAAGCUAAAAGAGCUAUUUCAAUUUUCUAUGAAA